GUGUCAGCCGCCGCGGUAAUACGUAGGAUCCAAGCGUUGUCCGGAUUUAUUGGGUUUAAAGGGUGCGCAGGCGGCUCAAUAAGUCAGUGGUGAAAGCCGACAGCUUAACUGUCGAAUUGCCAUUGAUACUGUUGAGCUUGAGUAUAGUUGAGGUUGGCGGAAUGUAUCAUGUAGCGGUGAAAUGCUUAGAUAUGAUACAGAACACCGAUUGCGAAGGCAGCUGACUAAGCUAUUACUGACGCUCAUGCACGAAAGCGUGGGGAUCAAACAGGAUUAGAUACCCUGGUAGUCCACGCCGUAAACGUUGAUAACUCGAUGUUGGCGAUAUACUGUCAGCGUCUUAGCGAAAGCGUUAAGUUAUCCACCUGGGGAGUACGCCGGCAACGGUGAA
rnacentral:rRNA from 1 species